CAAGCUCGAGCGGAUCGAUGGGAGCUUGCUCCCUGAGAUCAGCGGCGGACGGGUGAGUAACACGUGGGUAACCUGCCUGUAAGACUGGGAUAACUCCGGGAAACCGGGGCUAAUACCGGAUAAUUUAGUUCCUCGCAUGAGGAACUGUUGAAAGGUGGCUUUUCGCUACCACUUACAAAUGGACCCGCGGCGCAUUACCUAGUUGGUGAGGUAACGGCUCACCAAGGCAACGAUGCGUACCCAACCUGAAAGGGUGAUCGGCCACACUGGGACUGAAACACGGCCCAAACUCCUACGGGAGGCACCAUUAGGGAAUCUUCCGCAAUGGACAAAAGUCUGACGGACCACCGCCGCGUGAGUGAAAAAGGUUUUCGGAUCGUAAAACUCUGUUGUUAGGGAAAAACAAGUGCCGUUCGAAUAGGGCGGCACCUUGACGGUACCUAACCAGAAAGCCACGGCUAACUACUUGCCAGCACCCGCGGUAAUACUUAGGUGGCAAGCGUUGUCCGGAAUUAUUGGGCGUAAAGCGCGCGCAGGUGGUUUCUUAAGUCUGAUGUGAAAGCCCACGGCUCACCCGUGGAGGGUCAUUGGAAACUGGGGAACUUGAGUGCAGAAGAGGAAAGUGGAAUUCCAAGUGUACCGGUGAAAUGCGUAGAUAUUUGAAGGACCACCAGUGUCGAAGGCGACUUUCUGGUCUGUAACUGACACUGAGGCGCGAAGGCGUGGGGAGCAAACAGGAUUAGAUACCCUGUUAGUCCACGCCGUAAACGAUGAGUGCUAGUGUAGAGGGUUUCCGCCUUUAGUGCUGCAGCUAACGCAUUAAGCACUUCCGCUGGGGAGUACGGUCGCAGACUGACUCAAUGAUGACGGGGCCGCACAGCGUGAGCAUGUGUAAUCGAGCACGCGAGACCUACAGUCUGACAUCU
rnacentral:rRNA from 1 species